UGCUCAGAUGGGCACGUUUCCCCUGUGUUCAGCAUCUUCAUGAGAUUUCCCAGGAGGGGCUGCAAGUGGUCUCUGCCGUAGGCUAAGGACUCACUGUUGUCACAGUUACUGCUGGAAAUAGGUAUGGAAAGUUCUGUAGCAUGUAGAAUAUUGUAUUCUAAAGCCACUGGAGCUGAAAUGCGGCGGGGUGCUUCUCAGAGGGAGAACAGCUCUCUUCUUUUGACCCAGCGCAGCCGAGAGCUGACAGUCUAGACAGAGUGUGCGAGGGUCUGGACAAAGCACAAAAGGAUCCUGACUAGGUGGGACCAUGGGGGUGAAGUUAAUGAAACGCCCUGGUUAUGAAAACAGACGCAACUGCAAGAAGAGGAGGAUGUGUGUCUCAUGGAAACGGAUCCCCGCUCUCUGGAUGCCCUGACCUUUGAGUGAGAAAUCCUUAUUACACAGGCAAAGAGCUUGGGACUAAAUAUAGCCUCUAGAUUUUUUUCUUUCAUCUGUGACCACGUUUUCAAUCCUCACACCAGCUUCUACCUGAAUUUCUACUUGAAGCUUUGUCAAAUUGUCCUGAGGUGUACAUAUCCCAUGCUAGCCCAGCAACCAAAAGGUUAAUACAGCCCUGCCUGCCACGGCGGACCGCCCGUCUAGCAGCUGGCAGGGUGAAAGGGCUGGGAAGCAGAAGGGCGAGGCAAGGUGGCUACCAGAGGAGUGAGCAAGCAGGAGAAAGGAUCUCCGGUCAGCUGAUUGCUAGACAGCCGCCUGCCCAGGGACAACACCCGGCAGGGGGCAAAGAGGCCAACAGACUGAAGCGCCUCCAGAGGCCCCGGGGAAGUGUAAGGCGAUGUUGGAGCGCUCACGUCGUCCGCCCAUAUGGAAAUCACCAGGCAGGAGAGAGUGUGCAGGGCUGGUCUCCAGCGGGUUUUCUGUCCUGCCCCACAAGGGAGGCCCCGCAACUAUGCAGGGACUAGAGUGGAACAUUAAAGAGGACAAACGUCGUCAUUCUUGACUCACCCCCGCCCCCACCCCAUUAAGAGGAGAUGUGCAAGUGAAUUCCUCCCAUCAGCUGAGUUGGCAGCUCAGAGAAGAAGGGGGGAAGGCACUAAAAACCCCAAACAAGGAGGAACUGGAUCUCUGCGCUGAUUGGAGUCUUCAGGGCAAAGCUUCUAGGCAUAAGCAAGGGAUCCCCAGCUGCUUAGCCUGGGUUAGCCCUGAAGGACACAUAAAGCUUCCUUGUUAUAGAAGCUUCUGUUACCUUUUGAAACAUCAGAUUGUAAUUAAUUUGUGUGUGUGUUACCGGCUUUAACCUUGGAAAUAACUUUUGUUUCCUUUUCCUAUUAAUAAAUCUGUUGAUAGUUUAUUACA